rnacentral:misc_RNA from 1 species
UGGCCUCGCCUUGACCUUUGCAAGUAAUGAACCUUUCUCUUUCCAUAUUGCAAGUUUUUCCUAUUCCUAGGUGCAAGCCUAGGACUUGAGCUAUGCCUUCUUCCAAGGAAAGAGACAUCACUUGGCCUUAAAAACCAUUAGCCAGGGAUUUUAAUUUGCGCCUUUAAUAGUGGUAACAUAAUGUAUAUAAACCUGGUUCAAAAUAAAUUCAACUAUUCUUACAAUUAUCAGAAUUUAGAAUAGGAUAUCUAAUACAUUUUGAAACCCAACUCCUUCUCAAACUUAUUAAAUAGGCCUAUUAUCCAUUUUGAUGCCUCAUGGUGAAACUGUGGCAUUCCUAGCAGAUGAAGAAGGAUUAAAAAUAUUCUGUUUGCCAAGAAAUUAAUGACAUGUCUUGAUUGCGAUUCGCGAGCAUGGGCUUAUUAGUGGAUGCAUGUGCAAAUGCUUUUGUUUUGUUUCCAAUUCAUGAAACUUAACUCAGGACAAACUUUUCAUUCACCAUAUAGCUAACAUCGACAAUAAAUGUUUUGUGAAUUAGUUUCUUUCAACAGAAUUUCCAGAUAUGGUACUGGAAACUGAGAAUCUCAGAAUGAUUAAUCAUCUUUUAUUUGUUGAACUAAUGAGUUUUGGAAUUUGAUAUUUAGGCUAUCAAACUUGUUGAAUACUUAUCUAAGUAUUAUUUUGUUUUUUGAUAUUUAAAAUUAAAUGGAUGAUGCAGGCUUGGGUCUCUAACAUUUAAAG